AAUAAUGUCAGUUUUGACAGACGUCUGGGUUAAAGCUUUUCAAAGUAGUUCCAUAUUGUAAAUAUAUUGUUGAUACCUAUAUAAUAUAUGGUUUAAAAAGAUUCUCUCAAAAUGGAGACAGAGGUAGAAAAACGUAAUCCAGACUGUACGCCAUGCAGAAUCGUUGGGUCAAUCGGUCUUGUCAGUAUUGGCGCCUAUCUCGCUAACGCUGCAUUUAAAAAUAAAACUACACCUGGAAAAGUUUUAGUUUCCACAAUAUCGUUCGCAUUUGUUACAUUAGGAGUACAGAGAUACAAACAACAGUACCCAUUCAACAAGAACAUACAGAAAUCUUAGGAUGAAUCUGUGACCAAUGUAUUUUACUGUAAUGUAAAUAAUUUUUAGGCUUAAGAAACAAAUAUGUUAUUGAAAUAAAUUAUUCGCUACA